UCUCCCGCUUCUCCUCCCUGAGCGGGUGCCUUGACUCUUGUCGAGGCGUUUCCGCCCCCGGUUGCAUCUCCCUUUGCCGGGGGCACUUUUAU
rnacentral:ncRNA from 1 species